rnacentral:miRNA from 1 species
AGCUUGGGCUAGGAAUUUGUGC